UGGGGAAUAUUGCACAAUGGGCGCAAGCCUGAUGCAGCAACGCCGCGUGAGGGACGACGGCCUUCGGGUUGUAAACCUCUUUUAGUAGGGAAGAAGCGAAAGUGACGGUACCUGCAGAAAAAGCACCGGCUAACUACGUGCCAGCAGCCGCGGUAAUACGUAGGGUGCGAGCGUUGUCCGGAAUUAUUGGGCGUAAAGAGCUCGUAGGCGGUCUGUCGCGUCUGCUGUGAAAACCCGAGGCUCAACCUCGGGCCUGCAGUGGGUACGGGCAGACUAGAGUGCGGUAGGGGAGAAUGGAAUUCCUGGUGUAGCGGUGGAAUGCGCAGAUAUCAGGAGGAACACCGAUGGCGAAGGCAGUUCUCUGGGCCGUAACUGACGCUGAGGAGCGAAAGCGUGGGGAGCGAACAGGAUUAGAUACCCUGGUAGCCCACGCCGUAAACGUUGGGCGCUAGAUGUGGGGACCAUUCCACGGUUUCCGUGUCGCAGCUAACGCAUUAAGCGCCCCGCCUGGGGAGUACGGCCGCAA
rnacentral:rRNA from 1 species